rnacentral:rRNA from 8 species
AGACCCGAAACCCGGUGAUCUAGCCAUGGGCAGGUUGAAGGUUGGGUAACACUAACUGGAGGACCGAACCGACUAAUGUUGAAAAAUUAGCGGAUGACCUGUGGCUGGGGGUGAAAGGCCAAUCAAACCGGGAGAUAGCUGGUUCUCCCCGAAAGCUAUUUAGGUAGCGCCUCGUGAAUUCAUCUCCGGGGGUAGAGCACUGUUUCGGCUAGGGGGCCAUCCCGGCUUACCAACCCGAUGCAAACUGCGAAUACCGGAGAAUGUUAUCACGGGAGACACACGGCGGGUGCUAACGUCCGUCGUGAAGAGGGAAACAACCCAGACCGCCAGCUAAGGUCCCAAAGUCAUGGUUAAGUGGGAAACGAUGUGGGAAGGCCCAGACAGCCAGGAUGUUGGCUUAGAAGCAGCCAUCAUUUAAAGAAAGCGUAAUAGCUCACUGGUCGAGUCGGCCUGCGCGGAAGAUGUAACGGGGCUAAACCAUGCACCGAAGCUGCGGCAGCGACGCUGAUGCGUUGUUGGGUAGGGGAGCGUUCUGUAAGCCUGCGAAGGUGGCCUGUGAGGGUUGCUGGAGGUAUCAGAAGUGCGAAUGCUGACAUAAGUAACGAUAAAGCGGGUGAAAAGCCCGCUCGCCGGAAGACCAAGGGUUCCUGUCCAACGUUAAUCGGGGCAGGGUGAGUCGACCCCUAAGGCGAGGCCGAAAGGCGUAGUCGAUGGGAAACGGGUUAAUAUUCCCGUACUUGGUGUUACUGCGAAGGGGGGACGGAGAAGGCUAUGUUGGCCGGGCGACGGUUGUCCCGGUUUAAGCGUGUAGGUGUGUGUUCCAGGUAAAUCCGGUUCACUUUAACACUGAGGCGUGAUGACGAGGCACUACGGUGCUGAAGCAACAAAUGCCCUGCUUCCAGGAAAAGCCUCUAAGCAUCAGGUAACAUCAAAUCGUACCCCAAACCGACACAGGUGGUCAGGUAGAGAAUACCAAGGCGCUUGAGAGAACUCGGGUGAAGGAACUAGGCAAAAUGGUGCCGUAACU